rnacentral:sRNA from 1 species
GCUGGGCAUGGUGGUGCGUGCCUGUAAUCCCAGCUACUCAGGAGGCUGAGGCAGGAGAAUUGUCUGAACCCAGGAGGCGGAGGUUGCGGUGAGCCGAGAUCACGCCAUUGCACUCCAGCCUGGGUAACAAGAGUGGAACUCCAUCUCAAAAAAAAAAAAGACAGAGUCUCGCUCUGUCACCCAGGCUGGAGUGCAAUGGUACAAUCUUGGCUCACUGCAACCUCCACCUCCCUGGUUCAAGUGAUUCUGCUGCCUCA